rnacentral:lncRNA from 1 species
AUAGAGGAGUUGUUAUCAGAUGAUAGUCCUACUUUGUAUAGGGGCACCUCUGUAAAAGACUACAUUGACUUCUUUCCUUCAGCCGGACUUCCAGAUGACUCAUCACUCGCUCGUUUGAGGUUGUAAAGGUGGAAUUACCUAGGUGGUGUGUGCAUGCCGAUGCAAAUCUCUGCGAAAAUUCAGUAUUCAAAGAAAUUAUACGACAGUUGGAGGACAUAUUUAAAACACGAACGCUAAGGCAGCCUCUUCAUCUCUCUCUUCUCAGGAAAUUUGUGUUUCCUUCUACCAUUUUGACAUCGUCAAUGUAAUGUCUAUAUUUGGAUUUCCAUUGUUUAUAUGAAAUGAAAAGGACUGUUUGGAAUAAGUGCAAAUCUAUAAUUGUCACCCUUUAUAUACCUAUACUGUCAAGGAUGUUUUUGAAUGGGUUAACAAUUUCUUGAUAUUGAAUGCAGCAGAGUUGUUUGUGUUAACAAUUUCUUGAUAUUGAAUGCAACAAAGUUGUUUGUGUUAACCAUUUCUUGAUACUGAAUGCAACAGAGUUGUUUGUCAUUUGUGGGAUAAAUGGAUAUGCACUAAGACUGCCAUGAAAGCAGCGCUGUUGUCAGCUUAAGAAAAGCAGUGCCCUGAAGAAAGGAACUAACUGCAAAAAGAAAGAAACAACCUCUUGCAAAGUUUUUUUUUUUUUUUUUAAUAAUGGCCGAGAAAAGGAAUUGCAGCCCCCUAAAAAGCUGAAAUGGCUUGUGAUGAGUCACAUAUAGUGGGUACAAAUAGGAGAAACAAAUUCUUUGGAAACUUUCAAAAGAGUGAUGAACGUCUAGUAUUAAAAACCUGUCAGGGAUCUGAGCUGAUCUACUACUUGUGGUGAAAGCAGAUACCGAUAAGCUAGAACUCAAUUUCUAGUCAUUGAUAGCAAACAGAAGGUGUUUCUGGUAUUUGCCAAUGUUUUGCAGUCAUAAUAUAUGAAAUUUUUUCUUGGCAUUAUUAAGUACAAAAUCUGCAAUUAUGUCAACUGAUUAACUGGAUCGGGAUAAUCUACUAGAAUCUUUGUUUUGUUUUUUAGAGAUUUGAUGACGGUUGAGUUUUAAAGGAAAUCUAAUUAUGAGUUGAUCAGAUGAAAAACAAAACUUGUUUCAAUCCUAACCCUACAUUGCGGUGGAGUUAGAGGCAUAAUUCCUGGGACAAUUCUAGCCUUCUUCGAAUCCCAGCUACAGGUUUGGUUGCUCAACUUUUCAUGCUUUCUUUUACUCUUUAUAUGAGACCAAAGCUAAGAAUGUUGACUGAAACAUUUCAACUGACAAUUGAGUUCAAUAUAUAUUAAUAUAUAUUCCUGCUAUAAUAUUAGCUCAUAAUUUUCGUUGCACAGAAGCUUGAUGGUGAAGAUGCAGGGAUGUUGGCUACUUUGAAUUUCAUCUUGGGGACUAAUUUCAUCUGGAGGCCUUGGGACUGCUAUGCUUGCAACACCAAAUGAAAACGAUCGACCAAUUGUUACAGCAAAAGUAAUCAAUGAGUUUUAUUUUCAAGAAAGUCCGAAACUUUUUCCUGAGGAACCUGAACAAGGCAACCAAUUUCUUCAAAUGUAGAUAGCUACCACGAGGAUGAAUAUUUUAUUUUUUAUCUUGGAAGAAUAGCUUUGAAAAAGGAUGAAAAUUUCUUUAAGGGUAAGCAACUGACUUUUCUUUCUCGUCAACAGGCAUGAUGGCAUAAGUUUUGAAAAAGGAGGAAAAUUUCUUCAAGGGUAAGCAACUGACUUUGCUUGAGCUGGCAUGAUGCAAUAACAAAUGGGGUGAAAUCAAAGUGGGCAAAUUAUGGAAGGCCAGUUUAUCAAUCAGUUGAUGGUUUCAUACAAUGGGUAGAAAAAGAAGCAUUUUGUCUCUUUUUUUUUUCUUUUUUUUUUCUUUUUUUUUUCCCCUCCUUUUUCAGUGGAGAACAGCUGCAUGAAUGGAAGGCAAAAGGAAAGAUAUAAUUUUAAUUUUUUAUAGGAUUAAUUUAUUUAUUAUCUUUAACCAUGUCUCCGUCUUUGAGCAUUUGAGCAAUUCUAUAUGUUUUAUGAUCGUGCAUGCAUGUUAUAAAAUAUAGCAUCGUGGUUUGGAUAUCAUCUUUUAAUAAUAAAAUGAAUUUUGACAUAUUUUUUAUAUAAUAAAAUAUUUUAAGUUUAGUGGUAAGAAUACUAUUUAAUAGUUUUGGAGGCUUGGUUUAAAUUCAAUAGUCACUUAAUUUUAUUUUUUAAAUAUUUUGUACAAAUUACUUAGAAAAAUAAGGAUAGUUUCAUAAAUGCGGCCACAAUUAGCUUCAUCAUUUAAAAUGAAUAAUUUACUACUAUUUAUUUUUUAAAAUUUAAAAGAAUAUAACAGAAUUUGACUUUUGAGACUUUAAAUGUGUUUAAGUGAACAGUAAAAACAAAAAAUUAAGCACUCCAAAUAAAAUUAAAACUUUUUGAAUUAAACCCCUAAUUUAAGUGUUUGGGUACGCCACUGGCCAACUUGUUUAUGUACUCAUCAUGUAAUGGCCACUGGUGCUCACUAUAUCAUCUUUAAAUUAAUUAUCUUUCAUAAUGCAUUUCAAAUACUUUUAUGAUGUGGUUUUAUUUGAAAAGCUAAUAACAAUAAUAUACAAAGCAUUAUUUAGAAAGCACUUUAAUUUAGGUCUAAUUUUUUCCUUAUGUUCUGGUGAUGUAAAUAAUAGGGAGAAUGUAUGUUUCAUCCCUAAAUAGAUAUCAUAUUUAACAAUUACAUCCCUAUUAAAUUUUUAAUUACCCAUUUCAUCCCUCAUGUUAAAAGAUAAUAGAAUUAAUUAUGAAACUAAGGGCAAAACAAUCAUCCAAGGGUUUGAUAUUUUAAAAUUUAAAUUAAAACAUAACACCAAUCAUUAGGAUUAGGAGAAAAUGAAAAAAGUAUGUGCUCUUUUGGUAAUUACAUAGGACUAAUUUUUUUCAUCUUCUACUUAAUUUUGACACCACACUACUUAGAAAUGUCAUAAAAUCCUCUUAGGAGAGGUGGAAUAAUAAAUGAACAAAAAAUGGUUAAUUUUAUGUGUUUUUCUAAAUGAAAAGGAUAAAACUAAUAAUAAAAAAUCUAAUUAAAAUAUAAGUAAUAAAUAUAACAUCUAUCAAGAAUAAAAUAUACAUUCUUCCUUAAUAAUAUUGGAUAAUUUGAGUAAAUAUAAUAUUUACAUAUCAAAAUAAAAUAGUAGAAAGGGGUGUGGCGUUGGUGGUGUAGUGCUUGCUUAUAAUAUUUACAUAUCAAAUGUUUUGGAGAUUCAAACUGAAGCAUUUGAAAGUCUUUGGAAGGUCAAAGUUCGACCAAUAAACUAAUUUUGGUCAAAAAAGUUUCAGUGUACAUUGGUUAGGAAUGGCAAUUUUUGGGUUUGGGUCCGGGUUCGGGUUCGGCCUUUCCCGAUCCAAACCCAGACACACAAUUCUCUGUACCGGACCUGGAUUUGAACCCAAUUUUUUCAAUGCGGGUCUGGACCGGGUUCAACAGGGAAAAAUUUGGGUUCUGGGUUUUGAACUCGGAUUGCUUAAAAUAAAUUUGUUAUGGAAAAAAAUAAACUUGUUAUGGAAAAAAUUAAAUACAAAUCAUAUGACAUAUCCAGGUUCUAAAAUAAAUUCAAUACAAAUAUAGAAUCUGAAAUUCAAAGUUUCAAAGCAAUAAACAUCCACAAAUACAAAUCCAUAACAUAAAUCUACAAUUCAAAGUUCAACUUCAAACCACUAGUCUAAAGACUAAACUAUCAAUCAUCUACUUCAUUUGACUGUUGCUCACUCAUCAAACUUUCAUCAAUCAAAUGCUCCGCAAAAAGUAUUGCUUCCUCUAGAAUUCCAUCUAAAAGAAUGCAUAAAUCAUAAACAUAAUGAACAAGACAACCAAUUAGUGGUAAAUUGAUAAUAAAAAUAAUACAACAAAUUCAUUUGAUUAUAAUCAAUCAUAACUACUCUGCCGCCACCACCUCGUUUUUGUGAAGUGACAGGAGUAGUAUUACCCCUACGACCACGGCCAGGACUAAUCCCUCAAACUGCUACUGAUGAAUUUAGUUCUAAUUCAACAGUUGUAUCAUCAUUAUUUUCUGCUUCUGUCCUUAACCUCACACACACACACUUUCGUCACUCUUUUCAAAGACAUCUAGAUUAAUUCUUUGUUCAUUUUCCAUCAUGAAUUUGUCACCACACAAAAAUUAUGUCAAGACAUAAUUAAUUCCAUAAUUAACAACUAAUCUAGCAACUUCUUUCAAUUUAUAUGCUAUUUUUAACUGUAAAAACUAUACAUAUUUUGAAGAUACCAUUUCUAUUCUAUUAACAACAACAAUAAAAAAAUAAACUAUAAAUAAUAAAAUUGAAACAUAGCAUAGCAUAGAUAUUAAAAUCACAGAGUAUAGAUAUUAAAAUUGUAAAGAGAGUAUAAAUAAUAAAAUCAAAGCAUAACAGAGCUUAAAUUGCAAAGAGAAAAGCCAAGACUCACAAGUAUUCAAUAAGGCGGCUUAUGAAUAUGCUGAUGAACACAGAACACAACCGCGAUCAAGGUGGAUUGCACCCCGUUUUGCGGGUCGCGACAAGUAAGGCUGGUGAUGCUGAGAGACAAACACAGCCGCACCACGAAGGUGGUGACAACCGAGGUGAUGAAGACAGUGAUUAAUCUGAUUUAAAGAAGAGAAUUAGAGGAGAACUAAAGAGAGAGAGUGAGAGACUAAGAGAGGAAAUGGCAUAUUUGGCAGUCGCAGCAGCAAGGAGUGUUACGCUAGUACUAGGGCUUCUUUUUUUUAAUUUUUCUAUUUAUAUUAAAUAUUUCUAAAAAAUUGAUAUUAAAAUAAAAAAUAUUCGGAUCUAGGUUCAGAAUUUGCGUGUUCACCUGAAUCUGGAUCCAGGUUCUGGAUUUGCAGGUUCACUUGAAUCCGAAUCUAGACUCGGAAAUAUGUGGGUUCUCAAAAUUUCAUUCAGAUUCUAGAUGAAAAUUGAUUUGGUGCGAGUUGAAUCUGAAUGGAAUUUUUUGGGGUUCAAUCCAAAUCUAGACUGAGUCCGGAUUUGAUUGUCAUCCCUAACAUUGGUGAUGUUAUAUAAAAGAAUUAAGUGGGGAGCAUUAAUUUUUGAAUUUUAAUGCUUUUGACCAACACUUUGUGUUCGCAAUCGAGAAGUAAAUGAAAGAAGCUUUAAUGCUUUGUGUUGUCAAGUAAUCAAAGAAAUAGUCUUGUUAUGUUUUGAGUAGUGAUGACACUCUAAUUUGUCACCAACAAAUAUGUUUGAUCAUUUUAAAGAAAAUAUUAUUCAAACAAAUUAUAAUUUUGAAUAUGAAUGCAAUCAUGAUAAAGCUUAUGCUUUCAUGUCAAAAUGGCUUUGAUUGAAAAGGUUAUAUCUUCAUAUACAUCUUUUCCAAGACCAAAUCUUAGGAGAUAUUAGUUAGAAAAUGUAUUAUGAUUACACAAAAUAUAUAAAUCAAACUAGGAAAUAGAACCGCGCUUCGUGCGGCUUUAAGCAAAGAAUUUAGUAUUAUUAUUUUUUCUUAUUUUACACUUGAUAAAACUGAUCAAAAAUAUGAAUUGAUUUUUUUUUAAGAUGAGGCAGCCUUAUAAAACUAAUGUUAUUUAUUAAAGUUAAUUAUUUUUUUGUUAACUUUAAAAAUAUAUAUUAAUGUGUAUAGUAUAAGUAUACAGACCUUAUACCUUUUGUAGUUGUUGAUAUGUUCCAAAUUAUAUUCAACUUGCUAAUCUGUUAUAACUUUUAUAUCUCUUUUUUUCCAACCAGCUCCAACGAUCUCAAUAUCACCCAUACCACAAAAACUUCCGAUAACAUCUGUAAUAUUAUGGAAAAAUAACAUAAACAUGUUAAAACAUAAGGAUCAAUAAUUUCUAAUAUACACUUAAAGAUUAACAAACAUUAAUAAUUAAAAAAAAUAUAUGAGAGGAUUGUGUUAUCAUUCACACGUGUAUUAAUCAAAUUCGUAGAUAUGAAUUGGAAUCCAUUGAUCGGAAUCUUAACAAUUCAUUCCUCUAACCUCUUAAGAGAAGUUAUAACCAAGAAAAUAAUCUUAUACUAAUUUGAAAGUGGUCUGUACUAUCCUAUAGUUGAAACAACUUUCAAAUUCUUGACACUGUACAAAGAACCCUCACUCAACAUGUGCCUAAACUUUGUCACUAAAUUUUUCCUGAUUGUUGCAUGCAUUAGAUUUUCCUACGAAAAAAAAUGCUACAUUAAGUGUAAAACAAUUGGGAAAAAAAUUAGAGAAAACAAUGGGAGAAAGAAUUUUUUAUACAACAUUUUCAUCAAUAAAAAUCAUGUUCACACUAAUCAAUUCUCCAUCCUUCUUGGUAUUAACAGACUCCCACAUCCUACAAAGUCUAACCAUUAUCAUCCAAUUAUCUUUAUCAUUGUUCAACUCAUGAAGAAAAUAGUACUCUAUGAAGCACACAAUACUAAAAAUUCAAAAUAAGUCAAAAAAUAAAAAUACAAGAAUAUUUCUAAAGAGGAUGUUGGUUAAAUAAUAUAAAAAAACUCAAACAUAACAAAUCUUAAAUACUUAAUGUUUAUAGAGUUUGAAUAAGCCAAAAUACACUAAACAAAAGGUUGUAUAAUUGAAUAUGAGAUUAUGACAUUAAAAUUAGGCUCUAGUGACAUUGGUGAGGGAAGAUGAAAGAACCUUCCUUCCUAUAUUAAUUAGUUGAUGUAUUUUAAGCCACUAAAGUUUAGUUGUUGACUUAAUAAAAUAAAUGAAUGUUUCAAGACUUAUAAUUAAUUAUUAUUAAUGGUUACAUAUUGUUGAAUUUAAAUAAAAAGAGGAAGAGACAUGUAAUCUUUUGUAAUCUAAUAAUUAUUUUUUUAUUUAUUUUCUAUUUUUAAUAUUUUGUAAUGUAAUUAUUUUUUAAUCUCAACCAAUAAAUUAGAUAAUAGAGAAUAUAAAAAGAUGAGAAAUAAUGAUGCCACAAAUAUUAAAUACUUAAUGUUUAUAAAGUUUGAAGAAGGCAAAAGGUACUAAACAAAAGGUUGCAUAAUUAAAUAUGAGAUUAUGACAUUAAAAGUAGGCACUAAUAGUAUUAUUGAGGAAAGAUGAAGGAACCUUCUUUACUAUAUUAAUUAAUUGAUGUAUUUUAAGCCACUCAAAUUUAAUUGUUGGCAUAAUAAAAUAAAUGAAUGUUACAAGACUUAUAAUUAAGUAUUAUUAAUGGUUACAUAUUGUUAAAUUCAAAUAGAAAGAGAAAGAGAGACAUGUAAUCUUUUGUAAUCUAAUUAUUUUUUAAUCUCAACCAAUAUAUUAGAUAAUAAAGAAUACAAGAAGAUGAAAAAUAGUGAUGUCACAUCACCUCUUGUAGUCUCAGCUUUAUAUAUAUAUAUAGAUAUGCUACAGCCUCUAAUGAGCAAAGAAUCCAUUGCAUCCCUUCUCUUCUGAAAUAACUCAAUUUUUUUUCAAACAAUAAAAACAAAAAAAAAAUCUUUGGACCUUUCCUAAAAAAUAAAUAAUAAAAAGAAAGAAUAGAUGAUGUGUAUUUUCAUAAUAGGGAUGGAGUAGUGAUGAUAGAAAAACUUAGAUGAUCAAAUUCAAACUUUUACUUGGACUCAUUCGAACUUAUGCAAGGUUUAAUUUAUUUUAAGGCGGGCUAUUUCAACUUAAGAUUUUGACUAAAAUUUAGGCAUAAAAUAGAAAUAAUUUAUUUAGUUCAAUACAAGAUCUAUGAAAAUUACUUACAAGACAUCAAAAUCAUAUUAAAAAAGGACUGAAAUUCAAGUGUCAUAUUAAAGUGAGAGAAUAUUUUGAUAAUAGGUUUUAAUGGUUCAAAUCUACUGGAUUUUGUCAAAUUCAAGUCUAAUCUAUCAUAUAUUAGAUUUUAUAUUUUGGAGUCAAUCCAAUCUAAUCUCUUAUUAAAAUCCAAUAUAAUUCAAACCAAUAAAAAGUUAAAUUCAAUUUAACCUAAUCCGAUCAAUUCAUUCAUCCGAUUAAAAUAAAAAUUUACAAAUAAAAGUCUUCAAUUGUGCUUCAUACUCCUAAUUACUAGCAAUUGAAAAGAAAAUGCAAAAUAUCAUCCCCUUUAAUAUUUCAUGAUUCAUAUAUUUUAUUAUCAUAUAGCUGGAAAAAAAAAUUGAAUUUGAAUAUUGGAAGUAAACAUUAGUUGCAACUUGCAGUUUGUACUCUAUAUUAUUAUUAUAUAUUUAUAGUUAUACAAAAUAAGGUUUUAUCGUUUUUAGCAAGUUAAAUAUAGAGUGACAUGUAUUUUUUUUAAACAAAUAAAAAAAUAAAAAUUAAUUGGUUGGGUUUGUUUAUAGGGAAAUUGUCAAUCGUAUACCAUUAAUUUAUUCCGUUAUCAAAUUUACUACAACACUUUUAGGGUAUAUCAGUCGUUUACCCUAAGUUGAUAAAAUAUAGUUGUCGUCCAUCAAAUCGUUAGUUGCCGUUUAAAUAUGAUAAUCUGGUCUUUUCAUAUGAUACAAGUGAUAAUUUAAGAGUAUAUAAGUGAUAAUAAAAUAUUUUAAAGAUAUACAAGUAAUAAUUUUCAAAUGUAAAAUUGUCAAUUCGCUAUAGUUCCGUUAACUUUUAAACUAUAACUAAUGAUUUAAUAGUCGACAGAUAACUUUUAUUAAUUUAUGGUAGAUGAUUGAUACACUCUUAAAAUAUUAUAAUAUUUUUUAUAAAAAUAUAAAUGUAAAGUAUACGAAUAAUAAUUUCUCAUGUUUACACGCACAAAUCUAUCAAUCAAUCCAAUGACAUUGAUUUUUUAUUUUACGGUCCAAUCCAAUCCAACCAAAAAGUCAAUCCCAUAAAAACUAAAUUGGUUUAUGUUGUGUUUACUUGCUGGAGUGGGAGUGAGGAGUGUGGAUUCCUCCCACUCCAGCGUUUACUUCCUUAAAAUAGGAAGGGAGUGGGAAUCCCACUCCGUGGGCCCCACCCAUUUUUGGAGUGGUGAGUGGGAGUGGGAGUGGGAAUCCACUCCCACCUCUCCCUUUUUUACCCUUUUAUUUUUUUUAAUUUAAUAUUUUAUAAUUAAUAAAAUAAAAUAAAUAAUAUUAUGUUUAUUUGAAUAAUAUUAUUAUAUUUAUUUGAAUAAUAAUAUUAUAUUUAACUAAAUAAUAAUUUGCAUUGAUUAUAAGUUAAAAUUAUUUUAAAAUAAUGUUAUUAUAUUAAUAGAGAAUUAAUAAAUAUAAUAUUAUUAUAUUUAUUUUAAAAAUAAUAGUACUAUAUUUAUUUAAUAUUAAUAAUAAUAAAUAGUUUAUUCUAAGAAAAUAUUAAUUUUGUACUAAAUAAUAUUAUAUUAUUAUUUUAUAUAAUAAUAAAUUUAAUAUAAUUAUAUUAAAUAAAAUAAGGUUUCAUUUUAUAUUAAAAUUAAUAAUUUAUUGUUCAUAAUUAAGAAUAUUAAUAAUUAUAAUAAAUUUACAAAUAUAAUAAAAUAAAUAUUAUUCAUUAAAUAUAUUUUUUAUUAAUUUUGUAAUUAAAAACUAUAAUUCUUUAAAUAAGGAUAAAAUUAUAAUUUAAAACUAUUUACUCCCAAUUCAAGACAAAGUAAACACAUAAAUUGGAUUGUGAUCUCUAUUUCAUACUUCUAUUACAAUGUAAGUAAACAACAUACUCCCACUCACACUCUGCACUCCCAAUACUAAAAUUUCCACUCACCAGAAUUCUCAAUCAAAUCCAAAAAGUAAACGCUACCUUGUUUCGUAUCUAUUGUUUUGAUUGGAGUUAAUUAGAUCUUGAGCACCCGUAGCGGUCGGUUUUCUGGUCGAGGGAGAACUCAGAGAUGCUCGAAAGGUAGACAAUGAAUCGAAAUUGUAAGCCCAAAAACAACUUUUUGUAAAUCUUAAUAUGCCCCUCAGCUCGUAGUUUUUUUUUAUCUUGUUUUCAUAUAAUUUUAGUGUUAUAUGAAUGAUCGUCUCGGCCCUACGAUUGAACUAAAUAAAUAACCAAACUUAUGUUUCGAUGCCUUCAGUAGAGGAUUCAAGGGGAAUAGUUGAAUUGUUAUCGAUAAUAUUCUUAAUCUCUUGAAGAACGUUUUAACAUGAGAAUUUUGUGCUUGACACUUUCUUUGAAUGGGUAAAUAUUUCAAUUGUCUGAAUCCAAAAGUUGCAUGCAACCUAGUUAUUCGGAAAGUACUUUGAAUUCUUUGCUUUCCUUUUGCCCACUUUCUGCAAGAAGCCCAAGCAUACCUGCAAAAUGGGGGAGCAACCGGGGAUAAUUGUCUUAUUUGGCUAAAUAGUCUGUGUAAGUCUUUUCUUAUCCUGAGGAAGUGUCACAGUUUCCAGUGGGUGCCUUGGGCGUUUUUGUCACUAGUUGUAGAAAAUGUUUAUCAUUUAGAAUUCAGGACAAGAUGAUUGUAGAAAAUAUAGAUAUUUUGGGUUUCUAAUGAGAGAAUUGUAUUAAUUCUGCAACAGGCCAUCCGCACCGAAAAGUAGCCUGCUUUAUCCCAUUUGUCUCUUUUUUGUCCCCCCCCCCCCCCCUUUUUAGUGGAGAACCUCUGCAUAAAUUAAAGGCAAAAGGAAAAAUAUAAUUUUAAUUUUUUUAUAGGAUUAAUUUAUUUAUUAUCUUUAACCAAUGUCUCCAUCCUAGAGCAUUUGAACAAUUCUAUAUAUGAGUGUCUUCGCUCUUUGCUUUCAAUUCAUAGAGACAAUGACCUCCAGUCUGCAGCAAAUUAUGGCUUCAACAGGAAAUGGACUUGAUUAUGACAAAGAACAAGAGUUGAAGACCUUUGAUGAUACAAAAGCUGGAGUUAAAGGUCUGGUUGAUUCUGGUAUACAGUCAGUUCCCAAGUUCUUUGUUGCAUCAUCUGAGGAAACUUGCAAUGAGAAGUCAGAUCUAAGGCACACCCACUUCAAUGUUCCAAUUAUAGACCUCAGGGACAUUGAUAAAGAUGGUGCUCGGUGUGAAAUAGUCAAAGAAAUUGGCAUUGCGUCUAGCACAUGGGGAUUCUUCCAGGUUGUGAACCAUGACAUUCCUCAAGAUAUUACGGAUGAGGUUAUUGAAAGUAUACGAAGAUUCAAUGAGCAACCAAACCAUGUGAAAGAAAAAUUUUACUCCCGUGACAAGAUGAAGAAAGUGAGGUUCAAUAGUAAUUUUGAUUUAUAUAAGGCAAGAUUUGCUAAUUGGAGGGACACCUUGUCUUGUCUCAUGGCUCCUAAUCCUCCACCUCCUGAAGAAUAUCCAGAGGCGUGCAGGUAUGCAUUCCUCCACCUCCUGAAUAAUAUCCAGAGGCAUGCAGGUAUGCAUUCUGUUUUAUAAUUGUUAUGCUUAAUGAUGCACUUCAACAAUAUAUGUCUGUUCCUCUGCAGAGAGAUACUGUUGAAGUUUUCGAAAUAUGUUACAAAACUAGGUCAGGAUUUGUUCAAGUUACUUUCGGAGGCACUUGGCCUCAACUCUAAUCACCUAACGAACAUGGGUUGUGCUGAUGGACAUGUCUUUUACUGUCACUACUAUCCGGCUUGUCCUGAGCCAAACCUGACUCUUGGACAUACCAAACACCGUGAUCCAGAUUUUCUCACUAUCCUUCUGCAAAAUCAAAUUGGUGGUCUGCAAGUUCUUCAUGAUAAUCAUUGGGUUAAUAUUCCUCCGGUGGAAGGAGCUCUAGUAGUCAACGUUGGGGAACUCUUACAGGUGUGUAAAGUGCAGAGAGUUCAUUAUUUUUUGGCAUUGAGUGCAAAAAAAAGUUAAAUUAAUGUAAGGAUUGGUUGGUGAAUAGUCUUAACUGCAUUUAUGUUCUUAGUUGCUACUACCUUAAUGAUGUCCCAAACUUUUGAACUUUUAGAAUACCUAGAUUUCCUUUAAGCCAUCAUUUGAUUGGUGGGAAACAGAAGAAUUAUAAAGUUCAAAGAUAUGACGAACCCUCGAAAGUUGGUUAAAUCAGUAGCCUCAACCACACCAAAUUGUUUCAUACUGCUUAGUUUCUUUCAGUAGAAUUUCUUAUUUUUCUUAGUUGAAAAUAAUAAAGAUGUUAACUUUUCAAACUUUGCACCUCUCAGCAGCUAUAGAGAGUCUAGUGGUAAUUCUGGUUGUUAAGAAGAGUAGAAGAUGAAGAAAAUGAACUGACACUGCUUUGUAAAAUCAAUACUAUAUCUGUCAUUAGGUUAUCAUACAGAAUUGUUAAAGGUUUUGACUUUUGUUUUUUGGCAGGUUAUCUCUAAUGACAAGUUCAAGGCUGCCGAACACCGAGUGCUGGCUAACUGUGCUGGACCUAGAUUAUCAGUGGCAUGCUUCUUCACAACACAUUUUGAGCCAUCCGAGAAGCUUUUUAGCCCCAUAGAGGAGUUGUUAUCAGAUGAUAGUCCUCCUUUGUAUAGGGGCACCACUGUAAAAGGCUACAUUGACUUCUUUGCUUCAGCCGGACUUCCAGCUUACUCAUCACUCACUCGUUUGAGGUUGUAAAGGUGGACUUACCUAGGUGGUGUGUGCAUGCUGAUGCAAAUCUCUGCAAAAAAUCAGUAUUUAAAGAAAUUAUACAACAGUUGGAGGACAAAUUUAAAACAUGAACACUAAAGAGACAGUUGGAGGACACAUUUAAAACAUGAACGCUAAGGCAGCCUCUUUAUCUCUCUCUUCUUAGGAAAAUGGUCUUCCCUUCUACCAUUUUGACAUCAUCAAUGUAAUGUCUGUAUUUGGAUUUCCAUUGUUUAUAUGAAAUAAAGAGGACUGUUUGGAAUAAGUGCAAAUCUAUAAUUGUCAAUUUCUAGUCAUUCAUGGCAAACAGAAGGUGUUUCUGGCAUUUGCUAUGUUUUGCAAUCAUAAUAUAUGAAUUUUUUUCUUGGCAUUAUUAAGUACAAAAUCUGCAUUUCUGUCAACUGAUUAACUAGAUUGGGAUAAUCUACAAGAAUCUUUGUUUUGUUUCUUAGAGAUUUGAUGACGUUUGAGUUUUAAAGGGAAUCUAAUUAUGAGUUGAUCAGAUGGAAAACAAAUCUUGUUUCAA